UAGGGAAUAUUGGACAAUGGGGGCAACCCUGAUCCAGCCAUGCCGCGUGAGUGAAGAAGGCCCUCGGGUUGUAAAGCUCUUUUGUCCGGAAAGAAAAGCAUUCGGUGAAUACCCGGAUGUUCUGACGGUACCGGAAGAAUAAGCACCGGCUAACUUCGUGCCAGCAGCCGCGGUAAUACGAAGGGUGCAAGCGUUACUCGGAAUUACUGGGCGUAAAGCGUGCGUAGGUGGUUGUUUAAGUCUGAUGUGAAAGCCCUGGGCUCAACCUGGGAAUGGCAUUGGAAACUGGGCAGCUAGAGUGCGGUAGAGGGUAGUGGAAUUCCCGGUGUAGCAGUGAAAUGCGUAGAGAGCGGGAGGAACAUCUGUGGCGAAGGCGACUGCCUGGACCAGCACUGACACUGAGGCACGAAAGCGUGGGGAGCAAACA
rnacentral:rRNA from 1 species